UGUAAAUGUAACUGAAAAAAGCCCCGCUCGCUGACAACCUCUUCAUCACUGACUAGCUAAUGAGUGAUGACUGAGAGAGAGCCAUGGCGGCCACCGUCUCCCACCUCCCCGCCUUCCUCUCCGUCUUCUCUCAGAAGAAUCUCUUCCUCGUCGACCCCCAACACCAAUCCACUCUCAGAUUCACCGCCCAGCAACGCCGCCCAGAGCCGCCGCACUUCACGCUUCAAGCUUCUUCCGUCAAGAAGAAAACCAGUAGGAAGGUAAAGAGCAAUGCCGAGCUCUGCAAUGAACUCCGGCAGUUCCUCACUGCCGUCGGACUUCCGGAAUGUCACGUUCCGUCCUUGAAGGAGCUCUCGCAGCGCGGAAGGGAUGACCUUGCAAACAUUGUCAGACGGAGAGGAUAUAAACUUAUAAGAGAGCUUCUUGCGGACUCAAGCAAAAAAGAUACAAUUGGUAAGGCCGAUAAUGUGUUUGCUGGAAUUCAGGAUGCAAUUGAUGAUCGUAAGAAGAUAGUAACAGGUCAGGAUCAAGAGGUGAAUGAUUCGGUUGAGGAUUUCUCUUCGUCAAUUGAAGUUUCAGUCUUGGAAACUAAUUCUGGUAGUUUGAUUUCUCAUCCCGAUCCGAGCCGUGAUGACAGUGGUUGUUUAACUGUGGAAUCUUCAGCUGAUUUGUAUAAUUUAGAAGGUCAUAGUGAGAAGGUGGAUAAUGUGAAUGGAAGUGGUUCUGUGCCAACCAAAUUUUCUGUAAUGGAAAACCAAUCCAGGAGUUCUGAAAUUGGUCCACCCUUCAACUCUGACAUUGAUAGUAAUACGCCUUCAGAAAUUUCCACCCCUUCAUCCUUGGGCGAACCUGAUGAUCUAUCCUUGCCAACUACUGUUCACAUCAAAGAAGCCAAUACUUGUAGUAGUUCAAACGUUGGAUUGGAUCCGAACUCUGAUGGAUGUCCUGGCAUGCCUGUAGAGCCUGCUGAUGGUUUAUCAUUGGAUGGAAAGGUCUUAGUUAUAUGUCAGGAUGGGAAGGUUGACAAUAUGAUUGAUGAAGAUUCCUCUUCAGCCGUAGUUUCCGGUUUGGAAGACCAUUCUAGUUCAAAUCUUGAAUCAAGUCACAACUCUGAUUACCAUUACCCACCCUUAGAAUCUCCACCCAAUUUAUCCUUAAAGGAAAAAGUGGCAAACUUUAUGCAGAAUGGAGACUUGGAUGCAGUUGAAGAUAAUGUCUAUGGCGUAGUAACUGAAAAUAAUGCUGAAGAAAUCAAGGGUAGAUUUGGAAACACUGAAGAAGUUCAAUUAAGAACUCCUUCGGGGCACUCUAAAAAUGUGCUUGAAGGAAGGGAUGUAACUAUGGCAGUUGAUCCCUCUCUUAGUAGGGAUGAUAGUUCACCAGCUGAAGGGCUAAGUUCUCUAUAUGACAAGGAUUUGGAUGUUAAGACAAAUGAAAGAGACUAUGAACUCGAUGUUAGUCAUCUCAAGUUUAUGCUGCAUCAGAAGGAGAUCGAAUUGUCACGGUUGAAAGAACAGAUUAAGAAAGAACAGCUUGCUUUGUCAAACUUGCAAACCAAGGCUGAAAUGGCAAUCAGCAAAGCACAAAAGCUUGUCUCUGAAAAAGAUGCAGAGUUACUUGCUGCUGAAGAAAGCCUUUCAGGAUUAGUGGAGGUUGAGAUCCAGUACGAGGGAGAUGGCGAGAUUGUGGAGGUGACUGGUAGCUUCAAUGGUUGGCAUCAUCAGAUUAAAAUGGAUCCAGAGUCAUCAUCUAGUAUCAUAGAACCCUUGAGGAAACCCAAACUUUGGUCAACAAUGCUGUGGCUUUAUCCAGGGACAUAUGAGAUAAAAUUCAUUGUUGAUGGCCAAUGGAAGAUUGAUCCUCAAAGAGAGUCAGUUACCAGGGGUACCAUAUGUAACAACAUUCUCCGCGUUGACAGAUGAAUUGGCUCUGGCUGGGAGGUCACUAUCUGCCUUUAACCGCGGUUGAAAGUGUUGCAGACAAGGAGCCAAAUCAUCUACUAUUUAUUUGGCCUGCUGUUUAGGUAAAGAGGCAAAAGUGAAGUUGAAGCAACCUAAGCCUAUGCCAUCGGAACAAGAAAGUGAAUUGAAGAAGAGACAGGCAGGCAAAGUCAAGGAUCUAUAUGGUCUUAUUCCGCGCAAUGUAUAUAUCUGCUACUCGCCAUGGCUUUCAAUUCCUAAUUUAUUCUUUUUCCUGGAAAGACUCGAUAUACUCAUAACCACGGCCGAAGCCAAGGGCAGUAGAGAAAGCCAUGAACAGGAUAACCAGCAAAGCAUAGGUAACCAAAGAGAAAAUAAGGGAAAACACCGAGAGACGUGGCAUAAGAGACCGAAACGUCAUCCCCUUACAGACUCCCAAAACUAGGUCUAGCUCGGAGGGCGAGGAAUGUGUGACCGAGUGUGGGGAGGAGGAGGAGUCGUCCAUGGGAUGCGCGACAGAAUGUCCUGCUGUCCAGGGACACGCCGAGCGGUUUUUACCUUUGGAAGUUGUAACAUCCCAAAAAGCCGAAGUGGCGCCAAUGCUAGCAUGAAGAGUUCGUGUGGGCGACAGUUGCUUGUUAGGAUUGCACCUGGCCUUCCAAAUGUACCAAAUAGGAAAAAGCGAUGUGGGUAAGGGAUCGCAAUCUAUCCUCCUUACUUCCCAGGUCUUCUGUCAAAACCGCACUGCUACAUUACUUAGAUGCAAGGUUUCAAGAUUUGCUUUGUUGUCGAACAACACUAUAAACUUUAAAGGCAAUCAACUGUAUACGAAAACGGUUUUGACU